GUGGCUGCCAGAGGCCUGUGUCACACCCUCCCACUUAUCAACUGUCAUCAAGGACAUAUACUAAAGAAAUCACUCCCUAAAUCCAUACCCAACUGUAUGCUGUGUGCCCACUUACGUGACUGGGAAUCCCAAAGACCCAUGGAAAUGGUCCCAGUUGCAGCCGGACCGGGAAAGAAAGAGUGCUCUAAUGCUCACCCCUCUCUUCCCCGGGCUUCCCCGCCACCCUGCUGAUCUGCUGUACUGGGAACCAAGUGAAGGACUGCACAGGUAGCUACAUUUGAUUUGUUUAGAAACUUACUCCCAGGAAUUCUGUAAGAAACGAGAAAGUCUAAGGAGCUGCUGACCAAUCUCGAAGAAAGAUACAAAUGAGAAGACAGAGAUGAGAGCAGGGCCGGACUCACCGGAAAGAGCAGUGGGGAGAGAGGACGGAAGAACAAACCAACGCCCCAAAGACAGCAUUUUACUCUCCAGGAGAUUGAGACCAAUUGACAGACCCAAUUGUGUGCAUAGUUGAAUCUUUUGAACAAAAAUAUAACAAUCCUCAUUAUGAUUAGAAACAUGAGAGCUAAGAUAAAAU
ensembl:lncRNA